AAAAUAACUUGAAAAAUAAAUAAUUAUUUAGCGGACACGACUGGAUAUGAAGUUUCCAACUGCAUGGCCAAAUUAAGAACAAUUGGAUGAAGCACAGCUGCAUGAUUGAUAGGUAUCCUCUCACUAUCCAUCCGUAAGGAGGUUUAUCGCUUUCACGUUAUUCUCAUCUCAAAACAAUCAAAAAAGAUUGAGAAAUGAUAUUUGUACAAUACUUUAUUAUAACUUUUUAACAACUUCUCUUUCAUACUUACAUUAUAUUUUUAUUCUCUCUCUAUUGUUUUGGACCAAUGAGAAGAGCGAAAAUGAAAGUUGUCUCAAAUGAUUGUGUAUAUAUCACUACUCAAAAAAAUUACAGGGGUUUGGAUUAUAGUACUAGCUAUGCCUAUUAUUAUCUUUAAGAAACUUUUUCUUUCGAGUAAUGAUAAAUGAACACAAAAAAAUAGACACAAAUACGACAUCAGGGAUAGUGUGGUAAUUUCCUUCAAAAUACAAUGGCAUAAUUGAAAUUUUAACUAAAAAUAAAGGGUGUUUUUGUUGAUUGCUUUCAGUUUUCUUUCUUCCUUUCCUUUCUCAAUUUCUGACGCCGUACCACCAUCACCACUAUCCAACCAUCACUCACCAACACCAACCUCCACGCCGUCGUUCACCAACACCGUCCUCCUCGCCGUCGUCGUCAUCGCCACCACUAGAAUUCUCCAAUGCCGUUUAGAUCUCGUCUUCUCCACCUAAAACCACUGUUCUCAUCUGUGACCGCCGCCUACUGAAAGUCACGGAUUCGCCGGCGCAAAGUGAGAGAGUGGUCGCCGGUGAUUAGAAGAGAACGGUCGUCGGUGAGAAGAAGAUCGACGCCGAUGAGAGAACACGAGAGUUGCAGGAGGAAACAGUGCUUGAUGAGAGAGUGGAAGAGUACUGGUUUGAAAGAAUGAGAAAAAAAAAAAAGAGUAUAAGUGUAGAGUGAAAUACAGUGUCCUAUUUGUGUCUAUAUUUUUGUGUUUGUUUAUCAUUUCUCUUUUCUUUAUUAUAUAAAAAAAG
rnacentral:lncRNA from 1 species